rnacentral:rRNA from 1 species
UGCAACGCGAAGAACCUUACUGGCUUGACAUCCCGAGAAUCCCCUGGAAACAGGAGAGUGCCUUCGGGAACUCGGUGACAGGUGCUGCAUGGCUGUCGUCAGCUCGUGUCGUGAGAUGUUGGGUUAAGUCCCGCAACGAGCGCAACCCUUGUCACUAGUUGCCAUCAUUUGGUUGGGCACUCUAGUGAGACUGCCGGUGACAAACCGGAGGAAGUGGGGAUGACGUCAAGUCCUCAUGGCCCUUAUGGGUAGGGCUUCACACGUCAUACAAUGGUCGGUACAGAGGGUUGCCAAGCCGCGAGGUGGAGCCAAUCCCUUAAAGCCGAUCGUAGUCCGGAUCGUAGUCUGCAACUCGACUACGUGAAGUCGGAAUCGCUAGUAAUCGUAGAUCAGCAUGCUGCGGUGAAUACGUUCCCGGGUCUU